CGCCCUGACCAUGAGCGCCGCUGAGCUGGCCCUCCCAUCAGCGCCGCCGCCCCUCCCCGACCGCUAGGGUUGAGGUCGCCACGCCAUCUUCCCUCCGCCGGCAGCAGGUCCGGAUGCUCCGGCGGCAAGGUGUCCCCUCCUCGUUUGCGACAACAACUGCAGGCAGGUCUUGGUUCCGUCCCUCCCCCAAUUGCAUCUUCAGGGAGUCGAGAAGAAACAACAACAUGACAUGCAUUAGUUUGACGUCGAGACCGUUGUCGCAGAGCUUCUUGCUGGACGGACGACCGGCACCGAACACGCUUCGAGGGUGACUGAAAGAUGUCAGGCAACAAAAGGAACAAAGGGAACAAAGUUGCAAGCAUUGGCAAUGUGAUUGAAAGGUUAGGCACGGUGAGGAGGGUCAUAAAGAAGGGCACCGGUGCGGCAACUUCCAUACAGACAGGCAGGGCCAAACCUACACAGCGAGCCACGAUGGAUGGUACCCGAGGUAGACGACGUGCUCGUACCACUGUAUCCCGUGUUGCUAGCCCUAUCCCCUCCGUCCAUUCCGAGGAGGAAUCGGAGGAGGAAGCGGAGGAGGAGA